rnacentral:pre_miRNA from 1 species
AAAGUACUCUUUCCGUUUCAUAAUUCUUGUCGAAAUAUUACAUGUAUCUAGAUGCUUUUUAGUAAUAGAUACAUCCAGUUUUUGACGAAUUUGAGACAAGAAUUAUGGAACGGAGGGAGUAGUAA